ACUUGUGGGUUUGGGAAUGUCCAAUAAAAUUGGAACGAGAUAGAGAAUAUUGACAUGGCCCCUGGGCAAGGAUGACAUGCACAAGUCGAGAAAUGGUAUCAAAGCCU